rnacentral:rRNA from 1 species
GAUGAACGCUAGCUACAGGCUUAACACAUGCAAGUCGAGGGGCAGCAUUUUAGUUUGCUUGCAAACUAAAGAUGGCGACCGGCGCACGGGUGAGUAACACGUAUCCAACCUGCCGAUAACUCGGGGAUAGCCUUUCGAAAGAAAGAUUAAUAUCCGAUAGUAUAUUUUCUCCGCAUGGCGAGAAUAUUAAAGAAUUUCGGUUAUCGAUGGGGAUGCGUUCCAUUAGUUUGUUGGCGGGGUAACGGCCCACCAAGACUACGAUGGAUAGGGGUUCUGAGAGGAAGGUCCCCCACAUUGGAACUGAGACACGGUCCAAACUCCUACGGGAGGCAGCAGUGAGGAAUAUUGGUCAAUGGACGAGAGUCUGAACCAGCCAAGUAGCGUGAAGGAUGACUGCCCUAUGGGUUGUAAACUUCUUUUAUAUGGGAAUAAAGUAUUCCACGUGUGGAAUUUUGUAUGUACCAUAUGAAUAAGGAUCGGCUAACUCCGUGCCAGCAGCCGCGGUAAUACGGAGGAUCCGAGCGUUAUCCGGAUUUAUUGGGUUUAAAGGGAGCGUAGGUGGAUUGUUAAGUCAGUUGUGAAAGUUUGCGGCUCAACCGUAAAAUUGCAGUUGAAACUGGCAGUCUUGAGUACAGUAGAGGUGGGCGGAAUUCGUGGUGUAGCGGUGAAAUGCUUAGAUAUCACGAAGAACUCCGAUUGCGAAGGCAGCUCACUAGACUGCAACUGACACUGAUGCUCGAAAGUGUGGGUAUCAAACAGG